rnacentral:rRNA from 1 species
UACGUAGGGUGCAAGCGUUAUUCGGAAUUACUGGGCGUAAAGCGUGCGCAGGCGGUUUUGUAAGUCUGUCGUGAAAGCCCCGGGCUCAACCUGGGAAUUGCGAUGGAGACUGCAAGGCUUGAAUCUGGCAGAGGGGGGUAGAAUUCCACGUGUAGCAGUGAAAUGCGUAGAGAUGUGGAGGAACACCGAUGGCGAAGGCAGCCCCCUGGGUCAAGAUUGACGCUCAUGCACGAAAGCGUGGGGAGCAAACAGG